GAAAGUAAAGCUACAAGUUAAAUUCAAAAAAACGAUAUAAAAAGAUAAAAUGGGGGUUUUGGAGAUUAGCAAAUAAUUUUUGGUCACUUUAAUUUCAGUGUUUGUCAAUCAAGAUUUUAUGAAAUAACCAGGAUUAUGUUCACUAGGGCUUACGGUACAUGAUAGAUGCUAAAAUUUACUCAAGACUCUCACGGUGGUUAGGAUCACAAGCUAUCUUUAUCGAUGAUAUGCUCAAAUGUCUCUGGACCUAUUCAAGCGUCUAAUUUCCUAAUCCUCUCGGACUUAAGGAAUCGCUAUGCACUGUCCAGAUUUUACCUCAGGUAAAUCAACCUUGUUACAGCGCUGAUUAUUAAAUGAAGCUUUUUCAAGUCCCUGUUGAUAAUUCACUUCUUACUAUUUAUGAUUUUUUUUCUCAAGCAAACCAAAGUAGGUACGCCUACUGUUUACAACCACUAGACAUAAAUUAUAAUCUCAGAAUUACCAAGAAAUCCUAACACCUAUUAAAUCUAGAGUAUUUAACACCUUAUCAUGACCUAACCCUAGAUCCCAUGAUCCCGGUUACAGGUGUUUAGCCACUCAUGAUGCAAGAAACAAGUAGGCAAAUUGAAUUCAUAACUAAAAGGAUUAACUUACAAUGAUGAAGAAAAUCAAAAGUAUACUUUGAUUUGAAUCACAGGGCAAAACUCCAAAAUAUUAGUUUUUGAGAGAGAGAUAGAAAUAUCGUAUAUUGUAUCUUGUAGGAUAUGUCCAAUCCUUAAUGAUCGAAUGAAUAAAAAAAAAACUAAAACAAGGCUUUAAAUAGUUAACCCUAAAUAAGGAAAUAAAAUUAAAGUUCAGACUUUCUUCGAAAUAGAUAACGGCGCUCGUGACGGCCUAUCAGGAGUUUGACGGCCUAUCACGAACGUCGUCAGCUUCUCUGCAAGUUUAGCUUCUGCUGCCUAAGGUUGACGAUGACGUUACUCCUUAUCAUCAUCUUGACGACGUGUCAUGAAUGUCAUCACAAAACUUCCUACAACUUUCAUCUUCUGUUUAAGGUUGACGGCAUCCUUGACAGCCUAUCACCAGGCUGACGACGUGUUAUGGAUAUCGUCAGCCACAGUUUGUUCUUUAUUUGCUUCCGAUUUCAUGCUUUUUGCUUCCUUUAUUUGUGGUUCCCCUUCUUCUCUAUUUAUACUGGAAAAUCAAAGUAAACUAAUCAAAAACGACUAAAGUUGCUCAAGACUUUGCAAUUAUUUAGAGUUAAAAGUUGUAAAUGUAUUAGCAUGGGCUCACACAUCAACACCCUCAACUUAAACAAUUGGUUGUCCUCAAGCAACCAGAACAUAACCAAGAGUAUACAAAGUACAAGUUGGCAGCUAACUACUCAUAUCAGUUCAGAAUAUAUGCACCAUCUCCAAGGUCAGUCAAAUUAAGAGAAACUAUGUGUAUUAUUGAAAACACCCAUGCAACUCACGAGGAUCAAGAUAUGGCAAGAAUUUUAGCAAUAACAACCCAGCACAUACCCAAAUCACACUAUCCGAUUAAGGCAGUGAUUAGCAACAUACCUAGUGUGCCCUCACAACAAAGAAAUCCCUUUUUCACUCAUGUCAGAAUUUACAUACGUAAACACAGGGAUAAACACAAAACUCACUCUCAGAAAGAAGUUCCAACAUUUCGUACCAAAUGCCAUAGGCUUGCCCCUAUAAUCAGUACCCAAGUUAUCAGACAGGUCAGUUAGGAUCACUAUAGGGCUUUUCUAAAGCUUGUAACGUAGGUUAGGGGCUGGUAUGAUAUUCAUGGAUAUUUAAGAGUGACUAUGCCUCCUUGAAACUACACUAAACUCUUGGGGUUUCAACUCCCAACCUUCUUUUCUUCCUCUCUUUUAUUUAUCACACAUGCUCAAGAUGGAUGCGGUCUUUUCAAUUAUCACAUUAUCUUUUUAUCAUCUUUUACACUACUUUCUCAUUUCUUAUUCUUUUCUUUUAUUCUUCCUCUCUUCAUACUCAUUUUGUAUCACGCACCCCUAUAAUAGCCACCCUCAACUUAGGCGGUUUGCCUAAGUCAAGGUGCAUAGUGUCCAAGGAGGACCAGGGCCAAAACAGGUUCAUUAUGAUGUAAACGGGAAGGUGAGAGGUAUCGUAGAAAGAAAUAGGCUAAUUAGGCUCAAAACAGGAAUCAAGAGAUAUUAUGCACAUAGGGAAGAUCAUUUUGGCUAAAGUGGGAUAAAAUAAAAAAAAGGGCAUAUGAUCCUUUCCUAACUCCUAUCCUAUGACCAUGACAAGACUAACAGGGCAAGUUCUAGAUUCAACACACAACGGGAACUGAGUAAGACCUUACACACACAAGGCACUCAAGUAUCUCGCAUAUCACUACUUAUCCAGUUCAUGUACUUGUUUAACAAAGGUUAUUCAGUUGCCAGACUAAUGCCACAAAAAGAUACAUCGUGGUCACAAAUGGAUGCAAUUCACAUAGUAAUAUAUCAGACCAAUGGAGAGGUGCUCAAAAAUCACAAAAACGAGUUAACUGCCUUAGUUACUUAUAUUUCUCCUAGUUAACUACAACACAUCACAAAACAAGCGUAAUACGCCUAAACAUGCCGGAUCUAUUAGGAACAAUACUCUAGGGAAAAGAGGCACGGCAACAAAAACUCCAGGAGGACAUCAACACCUACAAGUAGCCCCAACACCCUCAACUUAAAACCAUGCAAUGUCCUCAAUGCGUCAAACUAAAACAAGAGAGUUAGAAACAUACCUGUGGAACCAUGGGUGCGAUGUCAAUCACAUAAUACGAAUACAAACAACAAAAUACCUUGGGUUGCCUCCCAAGAAGCGCCUAAUUUAGUGUCGCGGCAUGACAACAUCCAGUCAUCUUUUAUUCCUCUACUUUGAAGAUUUAAAUUGUCGGCCCAUCUUUUUAUCUUUACAUCUUUUAGGUCCAUUGGGCAAAUGUGAGGGCAUGAUAAGGAAUGUUCUAUCACGCCACUUCGAAGACUUGAACCGCUUGCUCAAUUUUGCAUCGAACUUUCGUGUGGGCUCAUUAGGCAACGAUAAGGAUCUUAAAAAGCUACUAAAUGGAUAUCGAUUUUUAAGCUUCUUGGCCUUCAAGACUGGGGUUGUAGUAUACCCUUUUAGAAAGAUAAACUCCAAAAUAUAAGAAUUUUCCUCCUCAUUUUCAAAAUUCAUCAUUUGCUCGGGUGGUUCGACUUUCAUCACAUCCACCAAGCAUAAUGUUGAAAAGUGGUUUGAAUGAGGACUGACUCUCAAUUCUGGAGUAGCGUCUCUAUUAGUAUCUUUACCCCAAAAUGGACUAGAGUCUUCACAAAGAUUGUUCUUGAUUUCUUCUUUUAAUUUUAGUACCAUUUCCUCAUCUUUGGCAUCUUCGUUCAUAAAUGGUUUGGUUGGUUGGGAAAUCUCCAAUGGAAGAUCAACAUCAAGCACAUCAUCAAUAUAGGAUUCUUGCUCCUCAUCUUCGCACUCUCUCAUUAUGUUAAAUGAUUCUACAGGCAAGAUAUCAUCUAAACAUAAUAUAAAAGAAUAUUUUGAAUAAUUGACCUCUAUAUCCAUCUCCUCAUGAAUAAUCGGCAUCAUGUCUUCACGCAUAUCACAUACGAUAUCAUAUGUUUCUUUCUGGAGAUCCAACAUUCGUUGAAACAUAGCUUCAAUGCCACUCUUACCGGUGCUUCGUUCUUUUUUUCUUGAUCAUAAGACCUAUUAAACUCAUAAGAAGAACUAGAAUUUGGGUUAGCGCAAUAGGGGGAGGGGGCAUUUGGGCAAUCACUCCAAUGUCCAUCUCGACCACCACAUAAAGAACAAUCAUACUCCUGGUAGGAUGGAGAUGGUACACACAUCUCUCCCUGGAGAGCAUAUCUACAAUCUUUCCAAAAGUGAGGUCCAUCACAAUAUGGACAUGGAUCAUCAAGAUAAGAUUUUCAACCACCAAGCUCAUGUUCAUUCCACGAUGUCAUAGUAAUAAGUAAACUAAAAUAAAAAUCUACCUAACACAAGAAAUAAAAGAAAACUAAAAAAAAAUAUUUACAAGUUUGAAUUCAAGCUAGUAGGCUAAAAUUCCAAACCAACUCAAUACGCCAAAUUGUUCCCCGGUAACGGCGCCAUUUUUGAUACGCUCAAAUUACACUCUUGAAUGGGUGUAAGCGAUCAUUGUCAAUAUAAAACUCAACUAGGUUAGGGUCGAAUCCCACAGGGAACAAUAUGAGUGGCGAUUAAACUAGUUUGAAACUAAAGCUACAAGUUAAAUUCAAACAAACGAUAUAAAAAGAUAAAAUGGGGGUUUUAGAGAUUAGCAAAUAAUUUUUGGUCACUUUAAUUUCAGUGUUUGUUAAUCAAGAUUUUAUGAAAUAAUCAGGAUUAUGUUCACUAGGGCUUACGGUACAUGACAGAUGCUAAAAUUUACUCAAGACUCUCACGGUAGUUAGGAUCACAAGCUAUCUUUAUCGAUGAUAUGCUUAAAUGUCUCUAGACCUAUUCAAGAGUCUAAUUUCCUAAUUCUCUCGGACUUAGGGAAUCGCUAUGCAUUGUCCAGAUUUUACCUUAGGUAAAUCAACCUUGUUAUAGCGUUGAUUAUUAAAUGAAGUUUUUUCGAGUCCCUGUUGAUAAUUCACUUCUUACUAUUUAUGAUUUUUUUCUCAAGAAAACCAAAGUAGGUACGCCUACUGUUUGCAACAAACAGACGUAAAUUAUAAUCUCAGAAUUACCAAGAAAUCCUAACACCUAUUAAAUCUUAAGUAUUUAACACCUUAUCAUGACCUAACCCUAGAUCCCAUGAUCCAGGUUACAGGUGUUUAGCCACUCAUGAUACAAGAAACAAGUAUGCAAAUUGAAUUCAUAACUGAAAGGAUUAACUUACAAUGAUGAAGAAAAUCAAAAGUCUACUUUGAAUUGAAUCACAGUGCAAAACUCCAAAAUAUUAGUUUUUGAGAGAGAGAGAGAGAAAUAUCGUAUAUUGUAUCUUGUAGGAUAUGUCCAAUCCUUAAUGAUCGAAUGAAUAAAAAAAACUAAAACAAGGCUUUAAAUAGUUAACCCUAAAUAAGAAAAUAAAAUUAAAGUUCAGAUUUUCUUCAGAAUAGAUGACGGCGCUCGUGAUGGCCUAUCAAGAGUUAGACGACCUAUCACGGACGUCGUCAGUUUCUCUGCAAGUUUAGCUUCUGCUGCCUAAAGUUGACGACGACGGUGAUGCCUUAUCAUCACCUUGACGGUGUGUAAUGAAUGUCGUCACAAAACUUUCUGCAACUUUCAUCUUCUGUUUAAGGUUGACGGCAUCCUUGACAGCCUAUCACCAGGCUGACGACGUGUCAUGGAUGUCGUCAGCCACACUUUGUUCUUUAUUUUCUUUUGAUUUCAUGUUUUUUGCUUCCUUUAUUUGUGGUUCCCCUUCUACUCUACUUAUACUGCAAAAUCAAAGUAAACUAAUCAAAAAACGACUAAAGUUACUCAAGACUUUGCAAUUAUUUAGAAAGCUGUAAAUGUGUUAGCAUGGGCUCACACAUCAACCUACACUGGGGUCCACUAACAAGGCUGUUCGGGGGAGUAUAUGGUCGAUAGUGGCUGUGAGAGCUUUCCACCCACUCCAUACACCUGACAGCUCCCCUUCCUAAAAUAAGGGUGACUCAAUUAGAGGUCAUGUACACACGUGCACUACGAAUUUGUUGCGAAAAAAAUGACUCGGGUUAUGCACAUAAUGCCAGAUAUAAAGUGGUAACACAUAAUAAAAACUAUAAACAUGCAACACAUAGGUAAUCAACAAUGAUAAAAUAAAUACAAACGAUAACACAAACAAUGUUUAUACACACAUAAUUUCAAACUAUGCCGAUACAACUCCAAAAGUAAGCUCGGAUUCUGAAAAUUUCUCCAGCAGAGUCGUCAAUGCUGUCACCCCCUUUUUUAACCAAAAAGAUGGAUUUUAAUGUUUGAAAAGGUUUUAUUAUCUAAGUGACAAAAGAUUUAAAAUUUAUUUCAAAAAAAAGAUUAUUUACAUUUUUUAUUCAGAGUCGCCACUUGACAUAAGCCGGUGUGCCAAGUCACCUUUGAAAAAUUCUUUUCAAAACUUUGACUCUUUAAAACUGGUUUGCUAACAGAGAUUCCAAGUAAUGAAUUCUGUUGAUCGAGGCGAAGGUGUUAGGCACCCCUCGAUCCCGUGGUUCGGCCACGGUCUCUUGGUGAAUUAUAUCGGCUCGUAAGACACUAUGAAUAUAUAAACCCAUAAAAACACAUAAAAGAAUCAAACAAACACAUCAAACACAAUCCAAAACCACAAUAAUAACGUUCAGUCCAAUUAUACAGUCCAAAAUAGUCCUAUUCUAAACUAGUCCUAAACUAAGCUCCACCCGACGCCUCGGGCCUUCGUCACGAACAUCUUUCAGGUACAAAAUACUUCGGGGCAUUCUCCGACCAGAUGAUACAUUUGAUCAAGCACGAUAAACUAGAAAACAUUCAACACACAUUCCACAUUCAAACAUUCAACAAAACACUUAUUCCUAAAUUUUUCCUACCCGAACCUAUACUUGUCUAUUCAUUUCAACAUGUCAUAAUUCUAUCACGUUCCAACGACAAUCAUGCUUAUUCCGAAUUAAACAAAACAACAAUAAAUCAAAAUUGAUCUAUGUUCACCCUUUUUAUCAAUUUCACAAUUCUACCCCAUCUAACUUCAUUUUUUAUCAAUCACACUAUCAAAACUACUCAAAUUCGUUUCACAUAUCACCAAAAUCACAUCAUCAAGCACAUAAUCAUAACAUUAACAAAAUCCAACAAUCAUAAUCACCCCACACAUAAUCACAACAUCGAUGCCAAAUUAAAAGAAAUAAGGAGUAAGAGUUAUAGAGAUGGACCUUCCGAAUGCUCUCAAUUGAUUAAGAAGAGAAUAAAAGCGGUCCUGAAACCUAGAAGAAUACCACAAUCUCAAUCCCGAACCAGUAAUUGGACUGGUUUAAAACUGUGAUGAAAUUGAAUUUUGAUUCAAACCAAGGAAACCUUGAAGAGUCAAUGAAUACCCGAAACCAAAACUCAAAAAAAAAAUGAGAAUCCGUAUGACAAUUUCGACGAGACUUUAAUGGAGUCGGAGUAAACUGUCGACUUUUCUGACUUGUCGACUGGACUGAUGUUUUCAGGCUGGAUUUCACCAGAGAAACCAAAAAAAAUGAGAAAAGUGUCUGGGGAUUUCAAUAUUGGGACAAAUUUAAGCUCGGGAUACUUGAACUUGACUAGAAAAUACCGUUUCCGGCGACCCCUGGUGUUUUUUGGUCAGAUUCCGGUGCUAAUUUUGGUGGGAUUGCGCCGAUUUCGUUGUUUAUUUGCCAAAUCUCUCAAAAUCCUUUCAUUCUUUCGAUUCUCUCCCUCUCUCUGCUUUGCUCUCUCUCUUCGUUACUCUCUCUUUCUCUCCGUUACUCUCUUUGUGUGUGUGAGUAUAUGUGUAUGUCUUUAUUCACUGGUUGUGUUGUGUGUGUGUAAUGUAUUGUAGUAUGUGUUAGUGGGUGUGUAUUGAAUAAAUGGAGGAGUGUGUAGGUGUCCAUUAAUGGUGGAGAGAUAGUUUGUGAGUAUAUUCUUGAAAGUGUUUUCUUUUUUGAGAAAGAAGAUGAUGAGUGUUUUCAAUGAAAAUUUCCUCUUCUUUUUGGCCCUCUGUGUCUAUGUGUAUAUCCUCUCCUUUCUUUGUGAAAAGAAACGUGGGGGUGGGGGGGGGGGGUUAAAGGAUAAGAGUGGGGGUGAGAUGGGGGUAGGAGUGGUGAGGUGGAUGAGAUAAGGUUUGUUAGGAUAAGGAAAUAUCAAGGAUUUGAUUUGUUACGAAUUUAUUAAUAUUUUAUUAUUUUUUUCUAUUUUUAUGGGGUAUAAUCGCAUGGAUGAAGGUGUACGAUAACGUGAGGUGAAAAUGGAUGAAUUGGGUUUUGGCAGGGACAAAAUUAGGUGUCUGCUAUACCAGCUAGGUUGCUGCCCGGAGGACCAAACCUGACUGCUCGGACAAGCUUGGUAUACUGUAUUCCCUUAUCAGCAGGCGGUAUAGUAGCAUUGCAAUUAUUCCACCAGUACGGGUCUUCUACUCUAAUCCUCGAUAGAUAGAAAAAUUACACAACCCGUAGAAGUAUCAUGCGCCAAACAUCUACUACCUAGAAAGUAAUUAAGACAAGCAUUUACAGCAUGUCUUUAAAUUAAAGAGUUUCAGUACCCUAGACCUAGAUUAUUAAAUGUGCCAUACACUUCUGACUCAUGGAAUCUUUGACUUUCCGAUGAAUCAAAGGAGGUCUACCAUGUCCAUUUCAGACUGAGCCCUGUAUUGUAAUGUUUGCAUGAAAUCUAGAAGACUUCAAGCAAAAAUAAGUUCGCAUAUGCCUAAGGGCUCAGCAUCUAAACUUCAAUCAAAAACUUACUAGGCUAAAGAACUUCAAGAAUUACAUGCACAAAGUUAAAAUAAACUCACGAGCAAUAAAUCAUAUGCAACAUAACUAACUAGUUGGAUAAUGAAGGUUUUUUGACUCGCAUGCUCUUCCUUUCUUUCUUUCUCAACCAUUUUCCUUUCAUUUUUGACACAUUAAACAAUCCACUCACGUGCAGGAGAGAUGCAACUCGCAUUCUACUUUUAGUUUUUGCUCUCAAGAGCCUUCUCCCAACUUUGGUCUCACGGAUGACUCCUCACAAGUACCCCCAACACAAUUAUUUGACCAUUUAUCAAGUAAAACAAGGCUCUCUUUGUAAUAAUUAACAUAAUGCGAAUUGUGACACCAACCAUUUAUAAAGUUACCUAUGUCAUUCUCUUUAAAAUCGUCAACUACAUGCUCAACUGAAACCAAUAGUCCACAGUUCUCUUUUCAUAAGAUUUUACCAUCUCUCCUUAUAGCCAUUAGAAAUCCCAAGCUCAUUUCGACCAAACCUUCCAUUAAUAUAAGGUGUCCAGAAGAUUUCAGUACGAAGAGGAAAAGUUCGUGCAAAGUGAUAAGAUUGGAUGAUGAACUGCUUCACCCAUGAGUUUGGUGCACCAUACUCUCUCAUUAUCCAAAUAUCAAUGGGUUUACUUUUGUCAUAAUUAUUAUCAACCAAACAAAGAGAUCCCUCUAACACAAAAAGGAACAUUUCGUCAUAACGUGGUCGUGACUCAUUGAUUAAACUACUCGGCAAUAUCAAUUCUGAGAAUUUCUCGUCAUGCAUGUCGAAAAAAACAAUCACACCCCGAAGUCCAAGUGAUCCUUCUACCCAACAAGAAACAAUCCAAUGAGAAGAUCCAUUUACAUAUGCAUGUGGUGUACUUGCAAAGAAUUUAUAAGGUAGAGAGACAUGACUAAUAUCUUCCCAAACACCAGUACUUAACUUAUAAACAUCAACAUGAGGUGGAAACGAAUGAAGAGUGUGCAGUACUCUUACCACCUUAUAGUCAUUAGUAACAGGAUCAUACCCAAACCCUAGCAUAUAACCAAAGAUUUCACCGAGUAUGUCAAUUGUAAAAAUUGGUUCUGGGAGUUUAAAAGAUUUUCUGAUGGAUGGGUUCAAAAAAUAGAAAUGGUUCCAGUCAUGCGACAGUUCGGCAGCAGCAAGGCACAAAAUCCCAUUACAACUACCCACAAUAUUAAAACAAUCGCUACCUUCACUGCACUUAAAUGGUGAAUCAAACUGGGCAAACUCAUUCAAAUAUUCAUCGUAACACAACAUUUGAUAUAAUUCAUUUUGGGGAUUUAUAGAGUAAGAUCAAACCAAGAUGUGAUCGUCUCUGUUUCGGUUGAGAUGCGUGGAGAUAAAAUUAGCGCUAGUAACAAGAGAGUACCAAGUCUUACAAACACUUGUGCAUUGAAGAAUUGACUUUUUGGCAAAUAAUCCGAUAUUUUUCUCCGAUGGCGGAUCUGGAUAUCCCUGUUCUUCUGGAAUUUAUUCUUUUCCUUUCUCCUUGAACCCUAAAAUUUGCUUCUAAUGGGGUGCUUCGUUUCCUUUUAUUCAUAUGUUUUUGGUAAAAGACAUCCUUCAAUUAUACUUUAAACAUAAACUAUAUCCUUCUACUAUUAUAAUGACCAGAAAACAUCCCUCAAUUAUUCUAAAAAUGAUAAGAUUCAUCCUUCCGUUAGAUUUUAUAAGGAAACUAACGGCUGAACCUCUGAUUACCAAAGCAGACCUCAUAUCAAACACCGUUAAGUUUUCAAAAUCCGCUAAACGUAGAUAAAAAAUGAUAAUCUUGAUCCAAAUUCAACAAGCCCAUUUUAUAAACCUAAAGACCUAAGCAAAAUCCUUGUUAGUGUACAGCUUACAUGGGAUGGGUUGGUAAAACUUAAUAGAUAGUACUAAAUUAAUGAUGAAUUUUAAAGAACUCAAGCAAAUCCAAAAAGGAAAACAAUUCCAUGAUUUUAAAACUACUUCCACAGCUACAACAACCAAGAUUUAGAUGAGAGUACACAAAUCAGGGAAUAUUAUAUUGGAAUAGUGAAGUAGCAGUUACAUAACUUUUCAUAGGCAUUCAACAACAACAACAAAUCCAGUAUACUCACAAUGGCGUCUGAAAGGGUAGAGUAUACGACAGUCCUUACCACAACCUCGAAUGUGAGGUAGAGAGGUUGUUUUCCAUAGACCCCCGGCUCAAGACAAAAUGCAGACCAGAUUUAGAUGUAAUAAGGGUACAAAAAACAACAGCAGUAACAAAACAAUAGAUAAUAAGAGUUAAUAACUCAAAUGGUUACUCAACUAUAAACUUUUAUUCCAAAAAGUAACUCAAUUUUAUUAUUUACCUCAAAAGUCACUCAACUAUGGACUUUUAUACUAGAAAGUCACUUAUCUUUGAUCUUUAUUUAAAAGACACUCAACUAUCACCUUUCCGUUCAACUUAUUUAAUUAUUUUUUUUAGUAAAAUUUGCUUAUGUGGAGCUUCUAUUUAAAAACAAAAUUUUGAAAAAAUAAAAAGUAUCCAUUUUAUAAAGUUUUUAUCCAUAUUCUCUUAAAUUAAUAUUUGUUCCUCCUUUUUCUCAUUUUUAUUCCCAUAACUCGAAUAUUUGCAAUAUAAUGUAGGAAAUUAACACUUAUAAUUGUACGAAAUGGAAUUACCAUCAUAUUUUAUCUUUGCAUUUUAUUUUUUAUUUUGUCUUUGAAAAGGAAAAAAAAGGAAAAACAAUAAAGAGGAACAGAAGAAUUCAAGAUGAACAAACAAGAAUAAACAAGAAUGAUACUACAAGUGAUUUACCCGAAAUAACAUGAAUAAACAAGAAUUCAAGAACUAAAAGCUACAAACGCAGUACAAACACUACCAAUAAAGAUAACACUACAAACACUACCAAUAAAGAUAACACUCCUACCUACUAUCAUGAAUGCACUCUGAUCGCUUAACUUUCAUAGGAUAUUCAACAAAUAAAUUUAAAUAUUUUAAGCUGCUAGCUUACUAUGACAUCAUAUCCAUAGGACAUGGCUCCUCUAGUUCUAUCAUAGGCUUAUUUUACUGAGUGAAGUACAAUUACUCUCUCCCAACCAAUAGUUUUAUUUAUGAGUUUUAUCUCAAGCAAAUAUUUUGAAUAUGCACUUACCCAAAUUAAGUAGCACUAAAUAAGAAGAUGCACUUACCCAAAUUAAGUAGCACUAAAUAAGAAGGGAUAUCAUCAAACAUCUUAGGUGCAUAAUCUACUUCAAAAUUCCAACAGAUAAACUGUGAAAGAGAUCAAAUGGAUGGAAGAAAACAUAUUAUAAAGAAAACUUGUCAAGCAAACCAAGAGACUAAACUUCCAACAGCAAUUUUAUACCUCAAACUUUUGGUUGAUUUGAAUUUGGUAGCGUAGACCUCUAAUGAGAGGAUUAGAGGUCACAUGGUAAAAAUGAUUUUGCAAAAUCAUAGUUAAAAGUAAAAUAUACGAAUGAACUUGUCUUGUAACGGCAUAAAUGAGCUAAACUUUAACCGAUGAUAUAGAUGAGUCAUUUCUAAUAGUUUAAAACUAGCAUAUUUGAACCCUUUUUCCUGUCUUUUUUUUUUUAAUUAUUAUUAUAUUAUUAUUAUUAUAAUAGAUUAGAAGUGUUGGUUUCAAAUGCCUGCCUGGCAUUUGAAGGGCAAAUUCGGCAUUUCAGUUAGAUUGAAGUAAUUUGAUUGGAGAAAAUGAAUAGCUUUGAAGUUGCUUUUGUAAAUUUAAAGUUUUCUUUGACUAUUUUGUACAUAGCUAAAUAAUAUACAUUAAGUUUGUGCCAUUUUGACAAGUGGAUCCAGAGUAGCUAUUGAAAUUGUGGGUUCAUUUUAAAAUAGUUAGUCCUACUUAACCUAAAACUCUUCUAAAAAAAAUCAUCAUGGGUUUAUUUUUACAAAAUCAACCUCAUUAAUUAUGAGUUGAAAAUAAAAUUAUAAAUCACAAUAAUUAAAAAUUUUAAAAAAAUAAAAUACAAUUAACUAUCAAUAUCAUAAAAAUCUGAAUAGAAAGAGUAACAUGAAUUAAUUGAAAAUUACAUAAAAAUUAUUAUAAAUUAUAAUAGUUAACAGAUUAAAAUAUCUAAAAUAAUCUAUUAUAUAUUUCAAAAAAAUAUUAAAAAAUACUAUAAAUCACAAUAAUUAACAACUUUAAAAAUUUAAAAUAUAAAAAAUAUUUGGCUGACUCUCAAAAUUAUAUUUGUGUCACUUAAAUUAAAAUGGGAGAAAAGUACUAUAAAUCUCAAUAAUUAAAAAUUAGACAUUUAUGACAUGUCUGCUUAAGUUGCUUUAAUGUAAUUUAACUAAAUAUUAUCCUUAAUGAAUUAUUAUAAGUCAUUUAAAUAUUAAAAAAUUUAUAAUAUUUAAUAAAAAUGUAAAAUAGAUAUAAAAUGAUAAAUUAACUUUUGAUAUUUUAAUUAAUUUGGCAUCCUAUAUGAGGCUCACUUAAAUUUUUUUCAUGGGUAUUUUUUAUAGUAGUUUUUUUAUAUAUCACUUUUAAUUAGUUGUAGUAAGUAAUUUAAGAUAUGUCUACUUCGUUGCUUCAAUUGUGAUUUUACUAUAUCACCCUAAUUAAUUUUUAUGACCAUAUAAGCAUUGUUCCACUUAAAUCUAAAUAGAAAAAAAUAAUUAUAAAUCUCAAUAAUUAAAAAAUUAAAUUAUUUAAAAAGAUAUAUAAUUGACUAUCAAUGUUACAAAAGUUUGGACAAGGAGACUAACAUAAAUUAUUUGAAAAUUACAUAAAAAGUAUUAUAAAUUACAAUAGUUAAAAACUUAAAAUGUUUUUAAAAAAAAUAAAUGUAUUUCAAAAGAAAAUAUAAAAAAUAUUAUAAAUCGCAAUAAUUAACAAUUUAAAAAAUUUAAUAUUCAUCAUACCUGCUUUGACAUAACUUCAUUGAUCCUUUCCCCUACCUUCAUUUUUUUGCCUCUAUUUUAAUUUGUUUGUAUUAUCUUUUCAUCUAUUAUAUAUUUUAAAAAAAACAUAAUUUUUUUUAAUAAAUCACAAUAAUUAACAACUUAAAAGAUAUAAACUAUUUGGCUAACUUUCAAAAUUAUAUCAGUGUCACUUAAAUUGAAAUAGAAGAAAAAUAUUAUAAAUCAUAAUAAAAAAAAUUAAAUUUUUUUUAGAAUAUAAUUGAUUAUCAAUGCCACAAAAGUUUGGACAAGGAGGGUAAUGUAUAUUAUUUGAAAAUUACAUAAAAAGUAUUAUAAAUUAAUAGUUAACAACUUAAAAUAUCUAAAAAAAAUUAAUUUGUUAUAUAUUCCAAAAAAAAUGCAUAAAAAAUUAUAAAUCACAAUAAUGAACAACUUAAAAAUUUUAAAAAUAUAAAAUAUUUGGUUAAAUCUCAAAAUUAUAUUAAUACCACUUAGCUUGGAAUAGAAAAGAAGUAUUACAAAUCACAAUAAUUAAAAACAUAUAUCAUUUUUAAAAUAUAAUUAACUAUCAAUACUGCAAAAAUUAGACAACGAGAGUAACAUAUAUUAUUUGAAAAUUACAUAAAAAAAUAUUAAAAAUUAUAAUAAUUAGCAGCUUAAAAUGUCUCUCAAAUCAUCUUACAUUAUUACAAUUUAGCAUCUGAUUGAUAUCAAAUUUUGAAUAUUUACUUUUUAACUUUAAAAUACUCUAAAUUCAGCAGACUGCUUUCUCCGUGAUUUUACUAUAUCACCCCUAAUUAAUUAUUGUAAGUUAUUUAUAUAUUAAAAACUAAUAAUAUUUAAUAUAAAAAAUAAAAUAUACAUUUAUGGCAUAUUUGUUUCAGCCAUUUCAAUCGUAAUUUUACUAAAUAUCAUUCUAAUUAAUUAUUAUAAGUCAUUUAAGUAUUAAAAAGUUAAUAAUAUUUAAUGAAAGGUAAAAUAGACAUAAAAUGAAAAAUUAACUUUUGAUAUUUCAAUUUAACUUGACGCCUUAUAUGAGACUCACUUAAAUUUUUUUAAGGUUUCGACAUGUCUACUUAUGUUGCUUCAACCAUGAUUUUACUAUAUCGCCCCUGAUUAAUUAUUAUAAGUUAUUUAUAUAUUAAAAAAUUAAUAAUAUUUAAUUAAAAAAUAUAAAAUAGGUAUUUAUGACAUGUUUGCUUCACCUACUUUAAUUACUAAAUAUAACCCUUAAUUAAUUAUAAUAAGUCAUUUAAGUAUUAAAAAUUAAUAAGAUUUAAUAGAAAAGAUAAGAUAGAUAUAAAAUGAUAAAUUAACUCUUGAUAUUUUAAAUGAACUUGACGUCUUAUAUGAUACCCACUUAAUUAUUUUUUUACAAGAAUUUUUUAUAGUAAUUUUGCUAAAUCAAUCCUAAUUAGUUGUCACUUAAGAUAUGUCUACUUCGCUGCUUCAAUCGUGAUUUUAUUAUAUCACCCUAAUCAAUUAUUAUGACCAUCUAAGCAUUGUGUCGCUUAAAAUCUUAAAUUAUUUAAAAAUAUAAUUGGCUAUUAAUGUCGUAAAAGUUUGGACAAGGAGAGUAAUAUACAUUAUUUGAAAAUUACAUGAGAAGUAUUAUAAAUCGUAAUAGUUAACACUUUAAAAUAUCUAAAAAAAAAUUAAUAUGUUACUUAUUUCAAAAAAAUAUAUAUGUAAAAAAUACUAUAAAUCACACUAAUUAACUAGUAAAAACGUUUAAAGGACAAAAUGGCUGCUUUGGCACAUCUUCAUUAAUCCUUUACCUUGCCUUCAUUUUUCCUCUAUUUUAAUUUAUUUGCAUUCUUUUAACCAGUUAUAUGUUUAGAAAAAACAUAAAAAUUUCUAUAAAUCACAAUAAUGAACAACUUAAAAUAUUUAAAGUAUAUAAAAUAUUUAGUUGACUCUCGAAAUUCUAUUAGUGUCACUUAAAUUGGAAUAGAAGAAAAAGUAUUAUAAAUCACAACAAUUAAAAACUUAAAUUAUUUUUAAAAUAUAAUUGACUACCAGUGCAAUAGAAGUUUUGACGAAGAGAGUAACAUAUAUUAUUUGAAAAUUACAUAAAAAGUAUUAUAAAUUAUAAUAGUUAACAGUUUAAAAUAUCUAAAAAAAAUAAUUUGUUAUAUAUUUCAAAAAAAUACGUAAAAAAUACUAUAAAUUACAGUAAUAAACAGCUUAAAAAUUUAAAAGAUAUAAAAUAUUUGGUUAACUCUCGAAAUUAUAUUAGUAUCACUGAAAUUGGAAUAGAAGAAAUGUAUUAUAAAUCACAAUAAUUAAAAACUUAAAUUAUUUUUAAAAUAUAAUUGACUAUCAAUGCCACAAAAGUUUGGACAAGGAGAAUAAUGAAUAUUAUUUGAAAAUUAUAUGAAAAAGAUUAUAAAUUACAAUAGUUAACAACUUAAAAUGUCUCCCAGCUUAUUAUGCAUUCUUAUAAUUUAGCAUCUAAUUAGUAUCAAAUUUUGAAUAUUUAUUUUUAAUUUUAAAAUACUCAAAACAUAAUCGAUGUUGGGCCCGUGUUAGCUAGUUAUUAUUAGGGUAAAAUUCAUAAAUAGCAUACUUAAAAUCAUAAUUAUGAGAUUCAUAGCAACACUUUCAUAAUUACUUAAACUAGCAACUUGUAUUUUGUAUUUGAACAAACCGUUGCUAUAAAAAGAUAUAUACAAAUCAUUUUACUGCCCAUAUUUAACUCAAAUUAGUUGAGUUAAAUAUGGUAUAAUUAGUCAUGAAUUAAAUGUGGAGAUUCCUUUUCCAUUAAAACCUCUUAAUUAACAUGAUUUUCGUUAUUUGUUACCAAUUGAAAUUAAAAUUCAAAUUUCAGUUUCACAUUAUCAUUUUCAUCCCCCAAAAAAAUCAAAAUCAAAUUCAACUGAAACUUCUUCUGUUCAAUGUCUUCAAAAAUUCAAAUUAAACCAUUGCUUUUGUUGAAGAUAUUUAAUUGUACUAUUGUUUUCUUAUAUGAAUUUCAUCAGUUGUUUGAAAUCGAUCAAAAAAAUUUCGUUCUGAAUUUUUUUCUAACCAUUACUGUUAUUUCGUUCAAAUUUUUUUGAGCCAUUAUUGAUGUUUAGUUCAAAUAUAAUGAUCAAAAUUGAUUUUCAUUAAAUUAUUUUUGAAUAUUUUGAGCCAUUAACGAUUUUUCGUUAGAGUGAUCAAAAUCAACUUUCCGUUAUGUUGUACAAUUUAACAAUUUAUUUCGUUAAAUUAUUUUUGAUCAAAAUCAAAUUCAACUGAAACUUCUUCUGUUCAAUGUCUUCAAAAAUUCAAAUUAAACCAUUGCUUUUGUUGAAGAUAUUUAAUUGUACUAUUGUUUUCUUAUAUGAAUUUCAUCAGUUGUUUGAAAUCGAUCAAAAAAAUUUCGUUCUGAAUUUUUUUCUAACCAUUACUGUUAUUUCGUUCAAAUUUUUUUGAGCCAUUAUUGAUGUUUAGUUCAAAUAUAAUGAUCAAAAUUGAUUUUCAUUAAAUUAUUUUUGAAUAUUUUGAGCCAUUAACGAUUUUUCGUUAGAGUGAUCAAAAUCAACUUUCCGUUAUGUUGUACAAUUUAACAAUUUAUUUCGUUAAAUUAUUUUUGAAUAUUUUGUAAACGAAUUUAAAAAAAAAAAGAUAAUGCAACAGUAAAUUGAACUGAUCGAACAAUAUAGUGAUCAAAAUAGAUUUUUCAAGCUACUCAAACUCAAUUUUUUUCUUUUUCACUUCUCUUUUUCUCUUUUUUAUUUUUUUUAUUUUUUUACUCUUUUAUCUCUAACUUUUAUUUUGAAAAUACAAAUAUGUAUAUCACAUAUACAUAUUCAAAAAAUAUACAAAAUAUAUAGCCAUACAGAUCUGGAUAUAUAUUUAUAGUACAAAACAUUCAUAUGUAUCUGCAUAUGUAUUUAUAAAAAUACAAAUCUCACUCAUAUGUAUAUAUAAACAUAUAAGACACAAAAUCUCUAUAACAAAAAAGGACAACUAUAUACAUAUACAUAGAGGUAAUUAAAAAAUACAUGAUACAUAUCCUAUAUGUUUAUAUAUAUAUAUAUAUAUGUGUGUGUGUGUGUGUGUGUUUUUUAUUAUAGAGAUUUUGUGUUCUAUAUGUUUAUAUAUAUGUACAUGUGAGCCAGAUAUGUACUUCUGUAAAUACAUAUGUAGAUAUAUAUGUAUAUUUUUUACCGUAAAUACAUAUGCAGAUCUGUAUGUCUAUGUAUUUUGUAUAUUUUUGACUAUGUAUAUGAGAUAUAGAUAUUUUUCUUUUAAAAAAAAAAGAGUAAAAAAAAAUUUUAAAAAAAAAGAAAAAGAAAAAGACAAAAACAAAAAAUAAAAAUCUAAAAAAAAAAAGAAGUGAAAAGGAAAAAAAAAAGAAAUAAAAACUAGAGAUAGAAGUGUAAAAGCAAAAAAGAAAAAAAGAAAAAAAUAUGAGAAAGGAAAAAAUAAGAAAACGAAAAAAUAAAGAAAAAAAUGAAAAAGGAAAAAAAAGUAGAAGAGAGAAAAUAAAGUAGAAAGAAAAAAAUGAAAAAGAAAAAGAAAUUAAAAUAAAACGAUAAAAAAAUGAAAAACUAGCAAGAAAAAAAAAGUUAGAGAUAUAAGAGAGUGAUAUUUUAAAAUUUUGAAUAUCAUGAAGAUAAUAAUCUUUAUAAUUGAGUUUGCUUUGGAAAAGGAAUAUACUAAUUUAAAUAAGAGUAAUUUAUGGGAAAGGAAAAAAAUUGAAAGAAGAAUCUAAGAGAUUUCAAACAAUAAAAGGUAAAGUAAAAAUCAGUUAAAGGAAAGAGAAAGAGAAGUGACAUAAAAAAGGAAACCUUAUACAUGGUAACUUCUCAAAGGCAGUAAGUGUGGGACCACACUUAAAAUAAUGGUAUGUUUGUUACACAAUGUAAUUUCAUUAAAGUGCUACUAUUUUUCAUAAUUCAAGUCUUAAGUAUGCUACUUCUUAUAGUUUUUCCUUAUUUUUUAUUAUUAUAGAAAGAAUGGUUUCAACAUGGCUACUUAAUUUUAACACAGGGUUCUAGUAUCUAUGUGUAAUAUAUUAAAAGUGUGAAACCCCUUAGAAAAAUGAUUUGAACUUUUUAUCCUUCAUUAAAAGACUCUCAUUUAAACAAAACUGUCUUUUCACUAUUUUAUUCAAUUUAUUAUUUAAUUAUUUUUUAUUAUAAUAAACUCCUAAAAUAUAUGGGACUCUAAAUUAUAUGGAAGGAGAAUCAAUUAAUAUUUUUCUUUAUACUGGUCAACUAGAAAAAUACUCCUAAAACAGAACUCUAUAAAGAAAAUAUUUCUAUAAAUAUUGAGAUCUAGAGAAUAAUUAUUUAUACUAAUUUAUGCACACAAUAUGAUUAGGUCUUUCAAUAACAUAUAUGCAUGCCCUUUUUUUACGUUUUUCUUUAACUGUUUUUUUUAUUCUCUCUUCUUCUUCUUCCUUUGUCUUUUAAGUUAGCUAUUGAUUCACUUGUAUUUCUUAGAUGUUAGGUAGUUGGUUUUUUAUUUUGUAAAGUAUUACCUUUUCCUUUUUUUCAAUCAAUGUAUGGAUAAAUAUAUACAAGCCAUCAGAGUUUGUAUAAUAAAUUCAAUAAAUGUUUUUAUUAUUAGUUUGUAUAAUAAUUUUAUUGUCUUAGUAUCUCUAUUAGUUUAUUAUUUUGUGGUAGUUUACACGUUGUAGACGAAUAUCGAUCGGGUUUGAGGAAUUUUUGUGUGUAAAGUUUAAAUUUAAUUGUAUUAUUUUGAUAUCAUUUUUAUCGUAUUGUUUUGUUGUAGUUUGCAGGUGAUAGAUAAAUGUCGGUCGACUUUGAAGAAUCAGCUUUGAGAAUCAUUUUCGGUAAAGGUUAAGUUUAAUUAAAUAAAUUCUCCAUCUUCACAUAUUCAAAAGAUGUUGAAUUUAAUUAUUGUAUUCAUCUUUAUUAUUUAAACAAAAUUUUUAUUUAGUGUAACGUUUGAACUCAUUAAAGUGAGGUACACGCGCGAGGCGCGUACACCUAAACUAGUAAUUAAAAACACCUAUGGUGCCAACACUGAAGGAAACAGCAAAGCAUUGGCCAAUCAUUCUUUACUAUUAGAUCCAGGAGCGGCUCAACCCUUUCGGAGAAAAGGCGGCCGCCUAUGGCCACCAAAAUUUGAGGGGCCUCAUUUUUUUUAGUAAUAAUAAUUUAUAAAUUUUAAGAAAUAUAUUAAAUACUAUUUAUAGAAAAAAGAAAUAUUUUAUAUAAAAAAUUUAGGAGUUUAAUUUAGUAACAACUUUUUAAUUCAUUGACUAUAUUAUUAAUUAAAAAACAAUUAUUAAAUACGAUUAUAUGAUUUUAAAAAUAGACUUUAUAAAAAUAACUAUUUUUUCUUAAAAACGUAAGACCUCUAUUUGAUUUUUGCCUUAGGUCAUAAAUAUGCUUGAGCCGCCCUGAUUAAAUCAACAAACUUACAAGGCAUAUGAAGAAACUAUUUUAGUCAUGUCAUUAAUUUAUCUUACAAUGAUCAUAAUUGAGGAGCAUGCAAGCUGACCAAAACCCUAUUGUUAUCCCAAAACAUAGCUAUUAGGCAACAAAUCGGUGAUCUUUUGACUUGCAUGUUCUUCCGUUCCUUCUUCUGCGGCCAUUUACCUUUCAUUUUCGACACAUAACGCAACUCACUCAUUUUCAAGAGAGAUGCAAUCCGCAUUCUAUUUUUAGUUUUUGCCUUUAGGAGCUUUUUUCUCCAUCUUCGGGAUCUCUUUUCCAUAAAUCGGAUGACUCCUUGCAAGCAUCAUCAACACAAUUAUUUAUCCAUUCAUCAGGUAAGACAAGGCUUUCUUUGUAAAAAUCAACAUAAAGCGGAUUAUAACGCCAACCAUUUGUAGAGUUACCAAUGCCAAUAUCUAUAAAUUUUUCAACUACAUGAUCAACUGAAACCAAUAAUCUGCGCUUCGCUUUCCAUAAAAUUUCACCAUUUUUCCUUAUACCCAUUGGUUUCACCAAGUAAUGAGCUACCGCAAGCUCAUCUGAAGUAGACCUUCCAUUAUAAGUUGUCCAAAAAUUGUCAUCACGGAGAGGAAUAUUUCACGUAAAGUUACGAGGACUAAUGUUGAACUCUUUCACCCGUGAAUUUGGUGCACCAUACUCUCUCAUCAUCCAAAUAUCAAUAGGUUUACUUGUGUCAUAGUUAUUAUCAACAAAAAAAAGUAAUUUGUGUGACACAAAAAGGAACAUUGCAUCACGGUGUAAUCGUACCUAAUUAGUAAAACUUCUUGGCAACGUUAUCUCUUAAGAAUGUCUCAUCAUGCAUAUCAAACAAAACAAUCAUAUUUAUCCGAGUUUGUUCUUCUAAAUCUUCCCACUUGAAAUCAAUCCAAUAUGAAGCUCCAUUCAGAGAUAUACCGGGGGAAUUAACUCUACAUUUAUUAAUUUAAUUAGUGUAAUGCAAAGAUGAAUAACUUCUACGUUACAAAGGAGAUGUGAAUACAUCUAAACAUCCAUUCUAAUAGAAUUAAGUAACAUGUGAAGUAAUGGUUCUUUAAUGGCUCUUGCAACUCCACUUUCAAAUACUAUAUAAAGGGUGUCUUUGGAGAAGAUAAAAACACACCACUUAAAGAAAGAAACAAUCUUCCUCCUUUCCUCUUCCUCUUGAAUUAUUUUGGGCAACCUCCAAACUUUCAGCCACAAGUGCACGUGUUUAGAAGUAGCUGUGGAACCUUGGGGAGCGACCGGCUAGAAGGAUUUGCACCAGAGUCGGGCCGAAAUUGCUUUCAAGGUAGUGGCUUGCGACGACACAGUGUUUGUGACAACUCUUCUACUAUUAUUAAUUUAGUUCCUAUAUCAAUAUUGUAGUACUUUUCUCAAUAGUUUGAAAGCGAUUUCGUUACAUACAAUAUUGAUAAAUGGCUAUUUCUUUGGACAAAACUUUUCCUGAUUUGUCAAAGCUAGAGCCAUUGGACGAAAAUAAUUUUAAACAUUGGUCACAAAAACUUAUGAUUUUUUUCGAAUAAUUAGAAGUUGAUUAUGUUUUGUUUAAUGAACCUCCAACUGAUAGUUCUAACAUUACUACUAGAUCUAACACUAUUGUGGUUGAUGGCAAAGCUAAAAAGAAAUUCGAAAAGGAUAACAAAACAGUUAGCGGACAUUUGUUGAACCAUAUGACUAAUCAUUUAUUUGAUUUAUUUGUUACCUAUAAAUUUGCUAAAAGAAAUAUGGGACAAUUUAGAAAAGAAAUGUGGUUUCGAUAAUGCAGGAAAGAAAAAAUAUGUUGUCGGACAAUGGAUUAAAUUUCAAAUGGUUGACAAUAAAUCAAUCAUGGAACAAGUCCACGAAUAUGAAAAUUUAACUGUUGAUGUUCUCAAUGAGGGCAUGAAAAUGUGUGAGAUUCUUCAGGCUAAUGUUCUGCUUGAAAAAAAUUUCCACCAUCCUGGAGUGAUUACAGAAAAUCAAUUGAAACAUAAGAAAAAGAAUUUAAAUCUCCAAGAACUUAUAAGUUACAUGAGAACAGAGGAGGCAAACCGUCUCAAAGUCAAGAUGGAAGCUUUGUCUCUUAAUUCUUCUAAAGCUAACCUUGUGGAAUCUUCUGGUACUAUUACAAAAGAUAGGUACGAAGAAAAACAAAAGAAUGUUCAGAAUAAGGAACAAGUGAAAAAGAAAAAUAAUUUCAACAAGCCAAAGAGUCAAAUUAAAAAAUCAAAAGGGCCUUGUUUUGUCUGCGAAAAACUUGGCCACAAGGCUGUCCAGUGUUAUCUAAGAAAAGGACAAAACUCAAAAUAGGGAGGACAAGGUGAUUCCCAAGCUCAUAUUACAGAGGGUGAUGAAGUGAUUGCUGCAGUAAUCGUCGAGGCAAAUCUGGUAGCUAACAAGACUGAUUGGGUGUUGGACACAGGCGCUUCAAGACAAUUCUGAGCUAACAAAAAAUUAUUCCAUGACUUUGAGGAAUCCACCGAUGGCGAGUGUGUCUACAUGGGUGACUCCACUACUGCUAAAGUUAUGGGUAAAGGAAAAUUUUUACUUAAAUUAACUUCUGAAAAAAUAUUAUGCCUGAACAAUGUUCCGUAUAUUCCCUCGCUCCGUAGAAACUUAGUUUCUGGAGCACUUCCAAAUAAAGUAGGCCUUAAACUUGUUUUUAAAGUUGAUAAAAUAAUUAUUUCUCGUGGAGGAAACUUUAUUGGGAAGGGAUACCUUAGUGGGGGCUUAUUUGUGCUGAACAUUGAUCAAGAGAUUGUCAAUAAUGCAAAUAUUCCUAAUUCUGCUUAUAUUGUUGAGUCUAUUAAUUUAUGGCUUGGUAGGCUAGGUCAUGUUAAUAUUGCUUCUAUUAAAAGACUUAGAAAAGUGGGAUUAAUUCCUACAGUAAAUAUUGAUGAUACUUCUAAAUGUCCUCUGUGUGUAGAAGCAAAGCAUGCCAAGAAACCUUUUAAAUAUGUUCCUAGUAGAAAGACCGGGUUGCUUGAACUAGUACAUUCAGAGUUAGCAGAUUUUAAGAACACUAUUAGUAAAUGUGGAAAGAAGUAUUACAUUACUUUUGUUGAUGAUUUUUCUAGGUAUACUAAGGUAUACCUCCUUAAGUCUAAAGAUGAGGCUGAAAGCAUGUUUUUAAAAUUCAAAACAGAAGUAAAAAAAUCAAUUAGAUAGAAAAAUCAAGAUAUUUAGAUCUGAUAGGGGUGGUGAAUAUAGUGCUAAAACUCUAGAAGAUUUUGUGAGAAAAAUAGUAUUAUUCAUGAGUUUAGUGCUCCCUAUACUCCCCAACAAAAUGGUGUAGCCGAAUGAAAGAAUAGAACACUUAAGAAAAUGAUGAAUUCCAUGCUUUUAAGCUCGAGUCUACUUAACUAUAUGUGGGGGNNNNNNNNNNNNNNNNNNNNNNAGCUGUCUUAUCUGCAUGUUAUAUUCUUAAUAGAGCCCUUCAUAAAAAGUUAGACAAGACCUCAUAUGAGUCAUGGAAAAGAUAUGCCCCUAACUUGAAAUUUUUGAAAGUGUGGGGGUGUUUGGCUAAGAUUGAUCUACCUGAUUUUAAACGAGUAAAUGUAGGUUCUAAGACCUUUGAUACUGUUUUUAUUGGUUAUUCUCAAAAUAGUGUUUCAUAUAGAUUUAUGUCAUUAAAUAAUUAUUCUAUUUGUGAAUCUAGAGAUGCAAAAUUUUUUGAGCAUGUUUUUUCUUUGAAAAAUGAUGUGCCUAGUGAUGUGCAAAAUAAUACUUUUAUACCUGUGUCUGUUAACUCUCAUUUUAUGCUAAUGAGCAUAAAAAUAAACUUAGAAGGAGUAAAAGACGUAGAACUGAGACUAGAUUUGGUCCUGAUUUUAUCACCACCUUCUUAGCUGGGGAUUUUAAUAUCGAUACUUCAAAUGAUGAAUUAGUGUCUAUCUUCUUAAUAGAAUAAGACCCUAAGACAUAUGAUGAAGAAACGAGUUCAAUAGAUGUGAUAUUUUAGAAAGAGGCUAUUAAAAGUGAAUUAGACUCUAUAGUUUGUAAUCACACAUGGGACUUGUAUGAUUUGGCUAAAGGUUGUAAAUCCAUAAGUAGUAAGUGGAUAUUCAAGAAGAAAUUGAGGCCUGAUGGUACAAUUGAUAAAUAUAAGGCUAGAUUUGUGAUUAGGGGCUUUAACCAAAAGAAAGGUGUUGAUUAUUUUGAUACUUAUUCUCUUGAGAUGAAAAUAGGGACCAUUAGAACUCUUAUUGCUCUAGCUGCUAUUCACAAUUUAGUGGUACGCCAAAUGGAUGUCAAAACUGCAUUUUUAAAUGGUGAUUUAGAGGAAGAGAUCUAUAUGACUCAACCUGAGGGUUUUGUGAUCCCAGGACAAGAGGAUAAAGUAUGCAAAUUGAGAAAGUCCUUAUAUGAACUUAAGCAGGCACCUAAGCAGUGGUAUAAAAAAUUUAAUUUCACAUUAAUAGAUAAUGGCUUUGUUGUUAAUUCAUCUGAUACCUGUGUUUAUUCUAAAAUGAUAGGAUCAGUCUGUGUGAUUAUAUGUUUAUAUGUGGAUGACAUGUUAAUCUUUGGCCCUAAAGUAAAUGUUGUAAAUGACACUAAGAAAUUUUUAUUUUCUAAAUUUGAAAUGAAAGACCUUGGAGAAGCUAAUGUGAUUUUAGGAAUAAAAAUCAAAAGAAAUGCUAAUGGUUUCUCUUUGUGUCAGUCUCAUUAUAUUGAAAAAAUAUUGAAAAGGUUUAAUUAUUUUGAUGUAGUUUCAAUGAGAACUCCUUAUGAUCGUAGCAUACACUUGAAAAAAGAAUAAAGAUUUCAGUGUUUCUCAAACUAAAUAUGCUAAAAUAAUUGGGAGUAUAAUAUUUCUCAUGAGCUAUACUCGGCCUGAUAUAGCUUAUGAUGUUAGUAGAUUGAGCAGAUAUACUCAUAAUCCUAGUAAUGAAUAGUGGCAUGCUCUUCAUCGCUUAUUAAGGUACUUGAGAGAUACUAGAGAUUGGUGUUUGUAUUUUAAUAAAUUUCCUGCUAUUUUAGAAGGUUUCUGUGAUACAAACUGGGUGACUAACAAUGAUGAAGUUAGCUCUACCAAUGGCUAUAUGUUUACUUUGGGUGCAGGUGCUAUUUCAUGAAAGUCUUCAAAGCAGACUUGUAUAGCAUGUUCUACCAUAAAAUCUAAAUUCAUUGCUCUCGAGUUGGCAGGGCAAGAAGCUGAGUGGCUGAGAAAUCUUUUGACAGAUGUUCCUUUAUGGGGAAGACAAAUGUCACCAGUCUUUUUACAUUGUGACUCACAAGCGGCAAUUGAGAUUGCUAAAAAUAGUGUAUAAAAUGGUAGAGACAUAUUCGCAUCAGACAUGGUGCAAUUAAACAAUUAUUGAAACAUGGUGUUAUUUCCUUGGAAUAUGUAAGAUCCGAAAUAAAUUUAGCGAAUCCUAUGACCAAGGGUUUGACAAGGAAAAUGGUCCUUGAAUCGUCGAGAGGGUGGAGCUAAAGCCCAUGGAUUGAGGUAAUAUGGUGGAUACCCAUUUGGGGUCAAACGAAGCCAUAUAGGCCUUCAAUAAACACUACAUAUCCUAUCCCUAUGGCGUGGGGUAGUGUAUUAUAAGGUUGAACUUAUUUUGCUCUUAAUGAUCCAUAGUCUUAAGGUGGUCUAUGAGAUGGACUUGAUGGAUCACCUACGUGAGUGUAAAAGGUUGGUCACCUUUUUAUGAAAGACUUGGGUUAUCUUUCUAGAGCACUCAUGAGACCUAAGGUUUGUGUGCAUGACCAUAAACGCACUUUGUAGUAUCGCGGAGGUUGCUUAAAAUCAAGGAUAUGGUAUGUGUUGUGGGGGUCUCAACUUAUGUCCAUCUAGUUCAAGAGUACUUCACUUUUUGGAUAUUUGUUUUUGCCUCAUAUCACUACAUGUCAAUUCAAAUCGAAAGAUAUUGACACUUAAGUACGUGUUCCUUCCUUUUGCCCAGAAUUCAUUCUUAUUCUUUAUCUUUGCAUUAGUGGGGGACUGUGGAAUUAACUCUAUAGUUAUUAAUUUAAUUAGUGUAAUACUCUACAGUUAUUAAUUUAAUUAGUGUAAUGCAAAGAUGAAUAACUUUUACGUUACAAAGGAGAUGUGAAUACAUCUAAACAUCCGUUCUAAUAGAAUUAAGUAACACGUGAAGUAAUGGUUCUUUAAUACUAUUAACUAUAACUCUUACAACUCCACUUUCAAAUACUAUAUAAAGGGUGUCUUUGGAGAAGAUAAAAACAUACCACAUAAAGAAAGAAACAAUCUUUCUCCUUUCCUCUUCCUCUUGAAUUGGUUUGGACAACCUCCAAACUUCCAGCCACGAGUGCACGUGUUUGGAAGUAGCUGUGGAACCUUGAGGAACGACCGGCUAGAAGGAUUUGCACUGGAGUCAGGCCGAAAUCGCUUUCAAGGCAGUGGCUUGCCACGACACAGUGUUUGUGACAACUUUUUUACUAUUAUUAAUUCAGUUCCAAUAUCAAUAUUGUAGUACUUUUCCCAACAAUACCUGAGGUGUAGUGCAAAAGAAUUGAUAUUUGAUAAGAUAGAGCGACAUGACUAAUAUCUUCCCAAACACCUGUACUUAGCUUAUAAAGCUCUACGUGUGGCAUUAGACGAAAAGUUGUGUGUAUAUUCUUACCACCUUGUAGUCAUUAGUAGUCCGGUCAAAUCCAAACCCUUGUGUAUGAUCCAAGGUACUCAGUGUCUUAAAUGUAUAAAUAGGUAUUGGAAGUUUUAAAGACUUUCUAAUGGACGGGUUCCAAAGAUAGAUAUGGUUCCUACAACACUCGUGAUCAUCCGCAAGACACAAAAGACCAUUACAGCUACCCACAAUAUUAAAGUAAUAGCUUGUUCGCUCAAAUGGCAAAUCAAACUGCUCGUAUUGAUCAUCAUUCUCAUUGUCACGGAACAAAGCAAACAUCUCUUCUUCCGGGUUUAUAGCGUGAUAUUGCAUUAGGAUGUAAUCGUCUUGUUUUCGGUUGAGGUGGGUGUAGAUAAAACUAGGACUAGUAAGAAGAGAGUAUCAUGACUUGCAAACGCUUGUGCAUUGAAGGAUUGAUUUGAUUGGCAGUUUUAUGAAGAUGUCAAUCAUCAACUCUUGUGACAAAUAAUCAGACAUUCUUUUUAUCCUAUAAUAGGAUCUCCUCAAGUGGUUAAAUAUCUCUUUUCUUCUUGGUUUUAUUUGUGAGAUGUGGACUGUAAUGUUGGUUCUACUUCUCUGUUGUGACUGUUCAGUUGUUCAAUAUGCUUUCAAUUUGUUUCUAACCAACAAUUUUUUCAAAGUCCAAUAUGGUACUCUCUUUCGUUCACUUUUUCUUGUCAAUUAUUCAAAAAAAAUAAUUUUUUAUUUUUAUUUGUCACUUUUUACAUAUUAAAAAGAAUAUCUUUUAAUGUUUUAUACUAUGCAUCAAUUACUUAUUCCCUAAAUUAUUUUUCAAGACAUAAUGCUAACGAAUAUAAAUCAAUAUGAUAUUAUGGUAAAAUAAUCAUAUCAAUUGUUAUUUCUUAAAAAGGUGUGCAAAGUUAGAAUUGGACAAGUAAAAAUGAACGGAUUCGAGGGAGUACGGUUGUUAGACUAGUUACUUUAUAUGAAACGAAGUGUUGGUAGCGGAGAACUCACUGAAAAUGAGUAUAAUAAAAAUGAAGAUAUUAUGAUGAAUAUGUGAAUAUACCAGAAGAAAUGGAAUUAUAAAAAGGAGAUAUGUGGUACAAGGUCAGAUUGGGCUUCUAGGUGCACAACAUGAGAGAAGCGACUAUUUGCUUCAAAUUAAUAAUCAACUCGUUUAAUUUAUUCAACACAUUUUUACCCACUAAAUUUAUAUCCAUUUAACACCUUGUAAUUGUCAAUGACCUUUAGUAGAUUGUAAUCGAAGUCGUUCUGUUGAAGCUGCGGCAGCGCCCAUAAAUAGUAUACAUGCAAUCUAUGUUGCUCGAACUUUUCAUAAAUAUCAAUAAAUAUAUUUAGAAAUCACCCAUGAUGUAUUUUAGAUUUUGGCACAACGUCGAAAAUAAGAGUAUCCGUAAUCGACACAUGUUCCACAUGCACUUUCUCAACGCUAAUUCCGCCUUCAAUCGUCCACUUUCCACCCUACUUACUUUCUAUAAUAUCUUUUCUAGAAUAUAUAUACUAAAUUAUAUGUUGAUUAUUCUAUAAUCUAAACUCUUAUUUCAAUAUUGUUUCAACAAUAAUCAAGCAUUUCAUAAAGUCAAAGUAGGUUAGUUCAGAAUCCAAUCGAAAUCAAUAAUUUGAACCAAAAGAAAGUCAUUGGUUUAUUGGUAAUGGAUUAUUAAUUUAGCAAUUUUGAUAAUGGUUUCUAUUUAUCUUUUAUAUCGGGUUAUCGAUUCUUAAUGGUUCGAGGUUUUUCCCUAACGGGUUAAUUGAUAACGUGAUAAUAAAUUAAUAUAUUAUGUUUAUACCAUUUGGUAUAUAAAGUCCUUGACUUAGGAUUUAGUUUCAUGCUUUCAUUUUCCUUGACAUGUCUCACACUUUUCGGUUAUUCUACAAGGUGUCAGUGUUUGCUUUUUAGCAAGAUGGAAUCUGUCAACUCGUGUAUGGCUCAUUUAGUUUGUCAGCUUGUUUCUAAGUGUUUUUCAAUGAUUUAUUUUUGCGAAAUCUUAACGGCUAAAUCGAUUAUCAAACGAUGACGAUCAAUAACUGAUAAAUAGAUAUCAUAAUGGUUCUAUAUAUAAUGGUUUAACAUGUCUACAAAAUAAUAACCGAUAAAUCAAACUGAUAAACUUCAAAAGCGAACCAAAUCGAUGAUACUCAACCCUAAGUCAAAGCACUUAAACUUUUCUAAUUGCUCAAGCAAUCAUAUUAAUGUCAACUACGUUACAUGUACAUGUGUAGUGUUAAGUGACAGCUUCUUAUCAACAGUAAACGCCCAUAAGAAUAUAAAUUUUUAUUCCCACUUGCAUCCUAUGUUGCUGUUAUGUGUGGCAAGAGAAAAGACAAGUCGGUGCACAUAUAUAUUAUUUUCUAUGUAGGAGACAAUUUGGGUAACGGAGAAAGAGGAGGAAUUAAUGAAAUAUUUAUUUAUAAAAUGUACUAGUCUAUAUAAGCCAAAGUUGAGAUACUGAUCAAUGGUGCAUUGCAACAGCUUUAUAUUGUUGUAACUAAAGAAAGAAAAAGAAAACUAAGGUUCAUCAACAGCUUUGAAGAUGACAACGGUAAUCACCAUCUCUUCUAUCUUUAAUGUUUGUCUAAUUAAUCUUUGAUUUGAUCAUAACGAAAAUUUUUAGACCAAUUUUAUGUGGCUUAAUUAUUUCUAAUGCUAUAUUUUGGUUGAGUACAGAUGACUGAGAUGAGAGUACAUAUGGAUUGUGCUGGAUGCGAGAGUAAAGUUAGAAAAUCUCUCGAGAAAGUUAAAGGUAAUAACGUAAUAUACUUCUUAGAAUUGAGACGGAAUAUAUUAAGAUUAUUAGUUUAUAAAUUAUGAAUUACAUUUUUUUUUUUUUUUGCUUACCAAAUUCUGAAUAUAUGUGAUUUGUACAUGUUACAUAAUCUUUUUAACAUAAAGAAGUACAAAGUUUGAAUCAAAAUUAUUGAAAUCCACAAAACUCGUAACUACUACAAUAUAUGUUUCAUACCCUACCUUAGAAAAAUGAUGAUUUAAAUUAUUUUAGUACUAUAUAUAUCACUGAUCAGUUUACAUAUUGUAGCAAGUUAUAGCAGGUACCUUGUCUUAAUAUUUUAGCCUGAUACUAUUAAAAGUAAAAUUUGUACUGUCAUGGGAAAUAUAAUUUAAGUAUUAAACUCAGAAUGACAAAAUUCAAAUUAGUUUGUUAAACUAAGUAUCUAAUUUUGUAACUUUUUUUUAUGUAUAUUUCAGGUGUUGAUAAUGUAGAAAUAGAUAUGGCCAUGCAAAAAGUGACAGUAACAGGAUGGGCAGACCAAAAGAAAAUACUCAAAACAGUAAGAAGAACUGGUAAACGAGCUGAGAUAUGGCAGUUUCCUCACAAUCCUGCCAUGAGAAAUAAUAACCCUAAUCAUGUCACUGAUUAUUAUUAUCAGCAGCAAGGUUGUGGUGGCCCGUCCACUUAUUACAGCGGAGAGCCACCAGCCUCCGCCUAUAACUAUCGUAAGCACGGCUAUGAUAACUAUGGCCGUGCUUAUAGUCUUUAUAGGGGCAACUCGAACACGUUUGGUAGUCGUGCUGGUGAUGCAUUUAGUGAUGAGAAUCCCCAUGGUUGUAAAAUUAUGUGAGUGUUAUUGGUUUAAAUAAAUGCACCUUUUUGGUGUUUUAAUUUUUGUUGAAUUCUAUAUAUAGAUUAAAUUAUCAAAGUGUAAAUGCAUUAUAUGUGUGUAAGCUUUUUAAGUAGUAAUAUUUUUAAAAGGAUAAUAGCCAUGAAAAUAUCUGAACUUUAACCAAAAUUUUAGUGGAGCAUAUUCAACUUUGCGGGGGUCCUAUUACCCCUAUACUUUUUUAAUCGGAAUUAAUCCCCCCGGGGAAUUUUUUUAAAGUGGAAUUAAUCCCCCAAAACGUAUACCCAGUUUUUUAGGUGGAAAGUGUGGUACACGCUCGUUGUCUUCUCCAUUUUAUCACUUUUCAACAUUUUUUCACCAUUACAACCAUAUUAAAGAUUCCACAACUCAAAUUCAUCCUACAAAUCAAAUUUCAAAUAAUUUCAUUGAGUCAAUUUCAAAUUCCAAGUCCAUUCUUAUCACACAAGUUUCCAAAUUCAAUUUCUAGUUUCAAACUUUGAAUUCCGUUGAGUUUAAUCGAAAAUUUUCUUGCACAUUGAAUUUAUAUAAUAAGAACAGUGAAAUUAUGGUUUUUAAAUUUAAUUGAAAAUAGCAAGAAGGUAUUAAGAACUAAUAAACCUACGCAUUGAAUAUAGCAAAGUUAGAAUAAAAUACUACACAGAAAUUGCUAAAACUUCAAUAGGAUAAAAUAAUAAACUACACAAAUUAAUGAAUACAUCUUACGAAAAGAAUAAAUCAUUAAAACCAACAAUAAAAAAUAUUUUUACUAGGAAAAAGGAUGAAUAUUAUGUAGUAUGUCAAAAAGAACAUGUAAUAGACUGCAGAUAUGCAAAAGGAAAAGCUAGUAUACCAUUAGUAACAAAAAGAAUAAUUAAUAAAGAAAUAAAUGAUAUAAAAAGUAAAGGAGAUCCAAUAAAAUAUGUACACCUUGGAGGUACAGAGAUAUUAAUAAAAGCAUGUUUUAGAGAAGGAAUAGAUACACCAAUAGAAUUAUAUUUAGCAGACGAUAGAAUUAUAAAACCUAUAGAAAAAAGCAUAAUAACUGCCGUAAAAGGAAAUCUAAUAUACCAAAAAUUUAAAUUUAUAAUAAGUGCAAAUUAUUCAGUAGCAGUAACAGAUAGGAAUAUAGAUAAAUCAUUAGUAUUAUAUUGGAAAAUAUCAGGAAUAGAAUUAACCCCAGGAAGUAAAAUAUUUACAGCAAGAUGCAAAAAUUUAUAUGUAUUAACAACAAAACAUAAAAUAACAGGAAAAAUAAGAUUAACAAAAUACGAAUAGAAAGUCCAUUCGAACAAUCAGUAAAAACAAUAGAUUAUAAUGAUUAUAGCUAUAGAGACAUAGAUAUAGAAGAAAAUUUAGAAAUAAUAAAUGAUAGAAUAAGUACAACGGAAAGAAUAGUUGAUGAAAAACCAGAAUCAUCAAAUUCAUCAAAAAGAACAAGUUAUGAAAUAAAUUCAACAAAUAAUUUAAAUCAAUAUUACAUAACAGGAAAGGUAAAUGAAAAAGAAUAUUUAAUACUCUUAAAUACAGGACAAGAAGAAAAUUAUAUAGCAAAAUAUCUAGUAAAAAAUGAAGAAAUAAAAACUGAUAAUGAUAUAUGCCCAGAUCUACCAAGAAGUUUAAUAAAUAGUAAAAAUAUAGCAGAAAAAGAAAUAAUAAUAGGAAUUAGAAAAAUAAAAAUAGAAUUUGAAGUAAAGGAAGAAAUGCAAAAAACAGACAUAAUAUUAGGAAUAAAAUGGCUAGAACAAGUAAAACCAUAAAAUAUAGAACAUACACAAUUAACCUUAACAUAUAACAGAGAGAAAAUAUUCUUAAGAAGAGCCUUACCAUAAAAUGAAAAUAUAUGUAUUAAUGAAGAUAGUAGUAGAAGGAUAUUAUAGUAGAUAUUAUACGCCUAUGAUAGAUACAGGAGCAGAAGCUAAUUUAUGUAGAUAUAAUUGCUUACCAGAAAGCAAAUGGGAUAAACUAAAAACACCAAUAAUAGUUAAAGGAUUUAAUAAUGAAGGAAGCUUAAUUACUUAUAAAGCUAGGAAUGUAAAAAUACAAGUAUGGGAUAAGAUAUUAACAAUAGAAGAAAUUUAUAACUAUGAAUUAACAUCAAAAGAUAUACUUUUAGGAAUGCCAUUCUUAGAUAAAUUAUACCCACAUAUAAUAACCAAAACAGACUGGUGGUUUACAACACCAUGCAAACAAAAAGUAAGAGCAAAAAGAGUUAAUAAUAAAAUAAGAAAGAAAACUGAUUGGAUAAAAGGAAGUGAAAAAAUUACACAAAAGUUAGAAAAUAUAAAAAAUACUGAAGAUACAGUAGAACUAGUAGUAUUUUCGAUAAAUAAAACAGAAAUAACUAUAUUUUCAAUAAAUAAAAUAGAAAUAAUUCAGAAAAAAUUAGAACAAUUAUAUAGUGAAGAUCCAUUAAAAGGAUGGGAAAAACACAAAACUACUAUAAAAAUUGAAUUAAUAGAUAAGAAUAGCAUAAUAACACAAAAACCAUUAACAUAUAAUUUUGAUGAUUUAAAAGAAUUUAAAAUGCACAUAGAUGAAUUAUUAGAAAAACAAUAUAUACAAAAAAGUAAUAGUAAACAUAAUAGUCCAGCAUUUAUAGUAAAUAAACAUAGUGAACAAAAAAGAGGAAAAAGUAGGAUGGUUAUUGACUAUAGAAAUUUAAAUGCAAAAACUAUAACAUAUAAUUAUCCGAUACCAAAUAAGAUAUUAAAAAUAAGACAAAUCCAAGGAUAUAAUUAUUUUAGCAAAUUUGAUUGUAAAUCAGGAUUUUACCACCUAAAGCUAGAAGAAGAAUCUAAAGAAUUAACCGCAUUUACGGUACCACAAGGAUUUUAUGAAUGGAACGUGUUACCAUUUGGAUAUAAAAAUGCACCAGGUAGAUAUCAACAUUUUAUGGAUAAUUAUUUUAAACAAUUAUCUAAUUGUAUAGUAUACAUAGAUGAUAUAUUAUUAUACACCAAAACCAAAGAAGAACAUUUAAAAUUAUUAGAACAAUUCACAGAUAUAAUAGAAAAAUCAGGAAUAAGUCUAAGCAAAAAGAAAGCUGAAAUUAUGAAAAACCAGAUAGAAUUUUUAGGAAUACAAAUAGAUAAAAGUGGAGUAAAAAUGCAA
rnacentral:lncRNA from 1 species